rnacentral:rRNA from 1 species
UACGUAGGGUGCGAGCGUUAUUCGGAAUUACUGGGCGUAAAGUGUGCGCAGGCGGCUUGGCACGUCGAGUGUGAAAUCCCCGAGCUUAACUUGGGAAUUGCGCUCGAAACUACGGAGCUGGAGUGUGGCAGAGGAAGGUGGAAUUCCACGUGUAGCGGUGAAAUGCGUAGAGAUGUGGAGGAACACCGAUGGCGAAGGCAGCCUUCUGGGCCAACACUGACGCUCAUGCACGAAAGCGUGGGGAGCAAACAGG